GAUGAACGCUAGCGGCAGGCUUAAUACAUGCAGGUCGAGGGACAGCACAGGUAGCAAUACUGGGUGGUAACCGGCAAACGGGUGCGGAACACGUACACAACCUUCCUUUAAGUGGGGGAUAGCCCAGAGAAAUUUGGAUUAAUACCCCGUAAUAUAGUUGAAUGGCAUCAUUUGAUUAUUAUAGCUGCGGCGCUUAAUGAUGGGUGUGCGGCUGAUUAGAUAGUUGGCGGGGUAACGGCCCACCAAGUCUACGAUCAGUAGCUGAUGUGAGAGCAUGAUCAGCCACACGGGCACUGAGAAACGGGCCCGACUCCUACGGGAGGCAGCAGUAAGGAAUAUUGGUCAAUGGACGCAAGUCUGAACCAGCCAUGCCGCGUGAAGGAUUAAGGUCCUCUGGAUUGUAAACUUCUUUUAUUUGGGACGAAAAAGGGCCUUUCUAGGUCAACUGACGGUACCAGAUGGAUAAGCACCGGCUAACUCCGUGCCAGCCGCCGCGGUAACAC
rnacentral:rRNA from 1 species